rnacentral:rRNA from 1 species
GACGAACGCUGGCGGCGUGCCUAAUACAUGCAAGUCGAGCGGACUUUCAAGAAGCUUGCUUUUUGAAAGUUAGCGGCGGACGGGUGAAUAACACGUGGGCAACCUGCCUGUAAGACGGGGAUAACUCCGGGAAACCGGGGCUAAUACCGGAUAAUAUCUUUCUUCGCAUGAAGGAAGGUUGAAAGGCGGCGCAAGCUGCCGCUUGCAGAUGGGCCCGCGGCGCAUUAGCUAGUUGGUGAGGUAACGGCUCACCAAGGCGACGAUGCGUAGCCGACCGGAGAGGGGGAUCGGCCAGACGGGGACUGAGACACGGCCCAGACUCCUACGGGAGGCAGCAGUAGGGAAUCUUCCGCAAUGGACGAAAGUCUGACGGAGCAACGCCGCGUGAGCGAAGAAGGUCUUCGGAUCGUAAAGCUCUGUUGUCAGGGAAGAACAAGUACCGUUCGAAUAGGGCGGUACCUUGACGGUACCUGACCAGAAAGCCACGGCUAACUACGUGCCAGCCGCCGCAGUAA